UCCCCAGUGACUCAGUGGUAAAAGAAUCUGCUUGCAAUGCAGAAGCCUCAGGUUUGAUCCCUGGGUGGGGAA
rnacentral:tRNA from 1 species